UUUGUGAUAUUUAGGAAUAGACUGGAUGAUAGGAAAUGAAAGCACAAUCCGUUGUUACUGAAAUUGAGAAAGGUAGUAACUCCUCCUCAGCAGUUUGGUUAGUUCGAUGCUUUUGAUAGCUUUGCAGCAGAUGAUCAGCAGUGGACUUGUACUCUUCAUGUCUUACACAUACGAUGUGCACUGAUACAAAAGCACAAAAACAUAUCUGCAGAGUUUCUUUGUGCAUUUUGCUACUGUCCUAGGGCACUGCUGUCUCUACUGGUCAUUUUAGGUUUGUGUUUGGAUCUUACCUUUUAAUUUCAAAUGCAAGAGCCCAAAGAACUGAUUCUUUCACUUUUUUGUUCAUUUUAUUUCAAAUUUAGGACGGGAGAUUAAGAGUCUUCUUUCAGAAUAAAACGAUGAAUCAAAUGAAAUUAUGGUUCAUGUAUUAACUAAGUGACCAUCAAAAUUAG
rnacentral:lncRNA from 1 species